AUCCCAAGAUGGCGGAGAUCCCCCUGUACUUUGUGGACUUGCAGGAUGACUUAGACGACUAUGGAUUUGAAGACUAUGGUACAGAUUGCGACAACAUGAGAGUAACGGCCUUCUUGGACAUUCCAGGCCAGGAUAACCUGCCUCCACUCACUCGCCUGGAGAAGUAUGCUUUCAGCGAGAACACCUUCAACCGGCAGAUUAUUGCCAGAGGGCUGCUUGAUAUCUUCCGGGACUUCGGUAACAAUGAAGAAGACUUCCUCACGGUAAUGGAGAUUGUAGUCAGAUUGUCAGAAGAUGCAGAUAAUCUGCAAAAUGGCUUCAAUGCUGAGUAAGAGUACCGUUGAACGCCUGCUACUCCCCCGAUUCUGUGAACUGUGUGGUGACAGGAAGCUCUUUCAAGUUCGGAAGGUUUGUGCUGCAAAUUUUGGUGAUAUUUGUCAUGCUGUUGGACAAGAAGCCACUGAGAAAUUUUUGAUCCCAAAGUUCUUUGAGCUCUGCUCUGAUGCUGUUUGGGGCAUGCGGAAAGCCUGUGCAGAAUGCUUCACGGCUGUGUCGCACAGCUCCUCCCCUGGGGUCCGCAGAACCCAGCUCUUCCCGCUCUUCAUCAGACUUGUCAGCGACCCCUGCCGAUGGGUGCACCAGGCUGCCUUCCAGUCCCUCGGCCCCUUCACUUCCACCUUUGCAAACCCCUCCAGGGCUGGCCUUUAUCUUCGAGAGGAUGGCGCCCUGAGCAUCUGGCCACUCACCCAGGAUUUGGACUCUGGUUUUGCCUCUGGCUCCCCUGCUCCCAGCAGUGGUGGUAACACUUCCCCUGCCAGGUAUGCUCUGGCUAGGGUCACCACCAGGACCCUCGAUGUACCUUAAGCACCCACCUAAAAUUUCAGCAAUUAUCUUGUCUCGAGUUUUAGUAGUGACCUUCUGGGCAAGAUGGAAUAUUAGAGCUUUAAUUAUGUAAAGAAGCAAAAAGUAAUUGCAAUAAUGAUUUUGAAACAUGACUACUGGGUUAUAAAUAAUGAAGCUACUAUGUCUCCUAAAUUUAGAUAAAAUAUUCAUUGAGAUUAGUGAUUAAAUAACCUAUAAAGAACAUUUUCUCUUACUUUUUGAUGAAUGAAGUUCUCUGGGUAAUUUACUUAGGGAAAAAUGUGAAGUCUCCCAAAUGUACUUUUUUGGAGGUUGGGUUACAUGUACAUAAAGGCGACACUCCUGACCAACA
rnacentral:lncRNA from 1 species